rnacentral:rRNA from 1 species
UACGUAGGGGGCAAGCGUUGUCCGGAUUUAUUGGGCGUAAAGAGCUCGUAGGCGGCUCACUAAGUCGGAUGUGAAAACUCCAGGCUCAACCUGGAGACGCCAUUCGAUACUGGUGUGGCUUGAGUUCGGUAGGGGAGCACGGAAUUCCUGGUGUAGCGGUGAAAUGCGCAGAUAUCAGGAGGAACACCAAUGGCGAAGGCAGCUCGCUGGGACGGUACUGACGCUGAGGUGCGAAAGCGUGGGGAGCGAACAGG